GAAUAUUCUGGUGGACUGUGCUAGUUGUAAACAUGUUCAAUGUUAAAUAUCAGACUUGCUGUUUAUGGAUGUUGAGCAUAUUCACAGGUAUCAGAAUUACCAGCACUUAAUUGCAAUCAUGAUAUUGGAAUGCUAAUAUAGACUUGACAUCUUUUGGGUACUAUUACAAAAAAGCACGAUAACCCACCGCUUCUUGAAGCAUUUCUGGAUUCCAUUCCAUACAUGGUAAGAACGUCCUGAGUGCACUGCCUUCCUCUCAUUGAAAUAUUUGAGUAAUAUUGUCGCUUCUCUAAAAGCACAUGGGUUAAAAGAAACUAAAGCAGAUUGGGAAGAAGUAUUGAAACAACUAGUUUCAAAUCAUUGGAUUCUAGAAUAUUUUGACUGGUUCUUCUGGUUCCCUAUAACAUGUUUGUGAUUUUUUUCCACUUUGGCAGUUUUAAAGGUUAUUCAGCUUGGCGUAGUUUUUAGCACAUUGAAUAUCUGAAUAAAAAAGAUGAACUCUUUACCAGAUGAGAUAUUUGCACAAGUUUAAGCUUCUUGGGUGUGGACCAUUUCAUUUAUUCUGAAAACAUUUUUAAUCUGUAGAGGGAUUUGUUUUAAAUGCCUUAUUUUUAUAAGCAUUAUCCAGGAGCGGAAAAAGGUGUGGAAAAUACUAAGACAACUGAUAUGAAGCCACCUUGCAAGUUUCUUCAGAUAGGCACCUAUGGGAAAAUAACGGGGCUUUCUUCUAAAGAAACAAUAUUCUCAAUAGAUCUUUGGUGUUGCAGAGUGAGAUGCUGUUUGUAAUGUGCAUAUUGUAAGGGAGAAAGGAGCCGACCAUAAUCAAUUAAAAAAAAAAAAAAAGACGUGCUGUUUGCUGAAUAUAAAGCCUCUGCAGAAAAAGAAAUCAGCAAAAAUCUAAGUGAAAGGUGACCAUAGACUUCAAUUCUGCAGAAAUUUCCACAGAAGAACCCAUGAAGGCCUACUAUCGGAUGAGGUCAUCCAGAAUCUGAUGGGAGGGAUUCAUGAUGUGCAUGGUGCACCAUGACUCCUAAAUUGCAGUGAGCGUUAGACCAGAAGCAAGGUAUAAAUGCUAAUACUGUGACUGCCACCAUGUUAAGCCAUCAAAUGAUUUCAGAAAUUUUGAGACUUCUUGGAACAGUUCUGUUAAAUGUACAAGUGUGGAAAAGCUUUUUUGAGUUUUGGUAUCUGAUUUAGGAACAUUGUGAAAGAAUGCAAAUUUUGAAUAUGUACCACAUUGGUCAGGCAAAGCUAGUAUGACAUACAGUGUUGAUAGACGCUCCCAUCAAUGGGAGCGUCUAUCAAUCAACGUUAGUCUGUUUUGCUAGGAUAGAUGGUUUUUAAAAACUGGUUCUGUGUGUCAAAAUUAUGUAGUAAUGGACUGAAGCUUGGAUCUGAAAUGUGAAGUUGUUUGAAAAUACCCUUUUUAGUGCUGAACUUUCCCCGUGUGUGUUGUCAUGUUAUAUCAGGGACAUGGAUAUUGGAAGUUUGCUUGCACACCUUGACUUCUAUAAAAAAUCAAAGAUGAAAUUUGGCGAGUGUGAGUGUUUUGCUUUUUCUGUCAAGACUGGUGAGAGGCUUUGAAGAUGUGCAACUUGUCCUUUGAACAGCACUAAUAAAUGUAAAUCUUGGAGUAGCUUACUCUAAUGAA